rnacentral:rRNA from 1 species
AUUGAACGCUGGCGGCAGGCCUAACACAUGCAAGUCGAGCGGAGCGGCGGACGGGUGAGUAAUGCCUAGUAAUCUGCCUGGUAGUGGGGGAUAACGUACGGAAACGGGAGCUAAUACCACAUCCUAUCAGAGCAGCCUAGGUCGUAUUAGCUAGUUGGUGGGGUAAAGGCCUACCCAGGCGACGAUCCGUAACUGGACUGAGAGGAUGAUCAGUCACACUGGAACUGAGACACGGUCCAGACUCCUACGGGAGGCAGCAGUGGGGAAUAUGGGACAAGGGGCGAAAGCCUGAUCCAGCCAUGCCGCGUGUGGGAAGAAGGUCUUCGGAUUGUAAAGCUCUGUAAGUUGGGAGGCGUUACCAACAGAAUAAGCACCGGCUAACUUCGUGCCAGCAGCCGCGGUAAUAC